rnacentral:rRNA from 1 species
CAAUGGCGUAUAUUAAAGUUGUUGCGGUUAAAAAGCUCGUAGUUGGAUUUCUGCUGAGAACGACCGGUCCGCCCUUUGGGUGUGUAUCUGGCUCUUUCUUGGCAUCUUCUUGGUGAACGUUGCUGCACUUGACUGUGUGGAGCGCUACCCAGGACUUUUACUUUGAGGAAAUUAGAGUGUUUCAAGCAGGCAUACGCCUUGAAUACAUUAGCAUGGAAUAAUAAGAUAGGACCUCGGUUCUAUUUUGUUGGUUUCUAGAGCUGAGGUAAUGAUUAAUAGGGAUAGUUGGGGGCAUUCGUAUUUAACUGUCAGAAGUGAAAUUCUUGGAUUUGUUAAAGACGGACUACUGCGAAAGCAUUUGCCAAGGAUGUUUUCAUUGA